GAAAAUACAAACAUAAACUUCUUAUACUUCAUUCACUGUGCAUUAUCUUGCAACUCUUGUUAUCCAUGCCGACAACUUACUAUAUGUGCAAAGAGCAUUAAAAUCUCUUCAUAAAUCCAACCACACAAGUGAAACAUGCCAUUAUUACCCUCUCACGGGAUUUCUACAAUAUAAACAAACAAAAGAAAACAUGAUUUACCUCCAGCAAACAUGAUUUACUAUGACUAAUUUUUGGACAAAUAAGAGAUACUAGGUAAACAGAAAAAUGAAUCACACUUUGCUGCUGCUUGAGGAUCUUUAAUGGACUUUACCAUAUCAACUGUCUCUUGGUUGUUCAUCACCUGUGCACCAGAGAAAUGCAGUUGGAUAAGCUAAUUGACCAAUCAACUCGAGAAAAUGUUAAAAAGAUAGAAAAUAAAAGGAGGUUUCUAUGAGAAGGAAGACACAACAGAAGACCCCCAAGCAUUGAUAUAAGAUCUAAGAUAAGAAUGUCCAGCUUCAUUACACAACUAUUUAAUUGAUACGUCAAGCAUAGUUAAUAAACAUAACCAAUUCACAAAAAAUAAAUCAAAAUCAUAAACACUUGAAAUAUACAUCACGAUGAAUCAUGAGUUAUGAACAAAUACCACCUAUCAAGUAAAAUGAACAGAAAAAUGAUAGAUAGGGGCUUUGACAUAUCAAGUGAAAUAGUGGACUACUCGAUUCAAAGAUGAUUUAAUUUAAAAUUUCACAUAAAAAAGUUGAUAAAUACUACAAAAACAAAGAAAACCAACAUCUUACAUAAUUUAGCUAUUGUUGAACAUGAUAAAUAACAUGUUACUGGAAUUUAGAGAUGCUUACAAAGGGAUUAACAUAGUACCAGCUCAGUGGAGUGUAGGCCACCCAUCAAAUGCUCAUGGUCCUCUCCUAACUAUAUAAAUAUAUAUUAAUAUUUCUAUACACAAAGAAUGGCAACCAAUUGGUAAUAGAAAGAAAAAAUGAAAAACUUUACUUUUUCCACUUUGACAUGACUCUACAAGAAUGACAACCAAUGGAUAAUAGAAUAUCAUCUGCUCACCAAAUGUAACAUUCUAUUCUUAAGUAAUUCCAACUUCCAAAUUAGAAAAAUUCUUAGACUUAGCCAAGUGACAAUUAAGGAACUUGAUAUUAAAUUAGUAAAUUGGUUACUAAAACUUUUGACAGGGUGGCCAAUCUUAUGCUAAGCAUAUAAUACAAUGCAGGCAUGAUAUGCAAUUAACAGAUGCAUCUUCUAUGGAAGAGGUUUACUCAUUACAAAGAGAUGUUUCAAAGUGGAAGAAUUUCUACUUCAUGGACUGUGUAGGGAGGGCUAUAAGGCUGCAAAAAAAAAUUCAAAAAAAAAAGACUAGUUAUCUUUGGUUUUUAAUCUUCAACAAUCUGUCCCCAUCUUAUCUUCCAAAUUAGAUGAUAGAUAAUGUAAUAACCAAACACAUGUAUAAAAGUUAUCUUUGGUUUUCAAUCUUCAAUAAAAUAAAUGUUUAUCUUAUCUACAUGCCUAACAAAUUUGCGUUAAAUUGCUUAGUUUUGCAUAAUAGUUGAACUAAAGUCAUCUCCUUUAGCUAAGAAUCUUAUGCCCUAUUGAAAACAUCAAGCACAAAAUCUUAAGCAGAAUAAUAGUUUUGCAACUCCUAUUUAGUUCUGCAUAAUAGUUGAUUUUGUGCUCAACUCCUGUUUGGAGUAAACCCAAGGGCUAAAGCUACCUUACUUAUAAGUCAUAACUUUGUCAAAUUCUUCAACUCAAAAGAAACUGCAUCAGUCUUCUCAUCAAUAUUAUUCUCAAUUCUUAGACACUUCUAAACUCAUCAAAUUCACAUAAAUGUAACUAUGCGCAAGAACAGGAAAUUAUCACUGUAAAAUUUGAGAACUUUACAAUUGUUUAUGAGGCUAGAGCAUAAAUGAUUGGAAUAUUCAUCAAAUUGCAAAAAAUUCUCAAAAUUCAACAGAAGCUCUGAUUUUCAUCUACCUAGCAUUCAUUCUUUCUUACUGCCCAAAAAGGCUAAAUAUACUAAAAAAUUACAACUGGUAAAAAAGUAUCAACAAAGCGACAAUCAUAUUAAGGUCAAUUUAAUCAGUUAUUAAGGCAAUUUCCAACUUCUAUUUUCUUUUCAGAAACAAAUUAUGUGGUCUGAUUAAGUCCAUUGAAAGUCGGCUUUCAAUAAACAAGAAUGGGUUCUAACACAUAACAUUAUAUGGGUUCUAUACAAACUAUGGGUUCUAGCACAUAGUAUUAAAGCUAAAGAACAUUAAGUAUAUAUUCAGAAGAACAGAGGAACAAUUUGAGUUCCAAAUCAAGUAUAUAAAUUUCAAGUACCGAAUUGAAUUUCAUCGACUUUCUCCAAAAUAUCAUCAGUAAACAAUUUCUGAAACGGAGGAAGUAAACAACUUCCUACUGUUAAAUAGAAGACAGACUUGGGGCUGGGCUGGAGCUGGAUGGCGGGAGGAGAAGACGCGCGAAGGCGGCAUCGGAGGGAGGGGAAGAAUAGGACUCUAGGGCUUGAGGGGGAUCGAACUGAGGGGCUUCAAUUUUCCAGCAAUCGCGUGGAUCAAGGGCUUCAAUUUCUCUCUCUUCGAUUUUGCAGCAAUCAAUUUCAAGGAUUCCGAUUAUAGUAGCUUCGAUUUUGCAGCAAGGUGAUUUCUGGAGGGGAACUCGUUUGAGAGCUAAGUCGAGUGAGGAGAGAGAAUUAAAAACACGUAGCUUCUAAAUAGGAAUGCUUUUUAAGCAAAUAAUGCUAUUUAGCAGUAAUGCUUUUAAA
rnacentral:lncRNA from 1 species